AAAUUACUGUCUCCGUCCUAAAAUUCUUGUCUUAAAUUUGUCUAAAUACGGAUGUAUCAAGUCAUGUUUUUAGUAUUAGAUACAUCCGUAUCUAGACGAAUCUAAGAAAAAAAAUUUGUGACAGAGGAAGUAUUAU
rfam:Triticum aestivum genome assembly, contig: Triticum_aestivum_CS42_TGACv1_scaffold_569117_7AS